rnacentral:rRNA from 1 species
CUUCGGCUUGUGUUUUGGUGACUCUGAAUAACUGAGUUGAUCGCACAGUCUUAGUACUGGCGACGUAUCUUUCAAAUGUCUGCCUUAUCAACUUUCGAUGGUAGGUUAUACGCCUACCAUGGUUAUAACGGGUAACGGAGAAUAAGGGUUCGACUCCGGAGAGGGAGCCUGAGAAAUGGCUACCACAUCCAAGGAAGGCAGCAGGCGCGCAAAUUACCCAAUCCCAGAACGGGGAGGUAGUGACGAAAAAUAACGAGACAGUCCACUAUGUGGCCUGUCAUCGGAAUGGGUACAAUUUAAAAACUUUAACGAGGAUCUAUUAGAGGGCAAGUCUGGUGCCAGCAGCCGCGGUAAUUCCAGCUCUAAUAGCGUAUAUUAAAGUUGUUGUGGUUAAAACGCCCGUAGUUGGAUCUUCGGUCUUGAAGCUCGGUAGCUCGUAAGGGUUUAACUGAGUCUUCUGGCCUAAAUUUUAGUAUUCUCCUGAUGCUCUUUAUUGAGUGUCUUGAG